GUUCCUAUUUGGCCAUCUUGCCAGCAAUCCCUGUAAAAAGUUUUUAACUUUUUACAGGGAUUAAAUAAGUUCAAUAAUAACAUUGUGUGUAAGUGGAUUCAAACAAAAAGGCAGACAGUGGCUGAAUGGAUUAAAAAAAAAAAAAAAAAAAAAAAAACCAACUAUAUGCUACCUACUAGAAACUCACUUCACCUAUAAAGGCACACAAAGACUGAAAGUGAAGUUGUGGAAAAAGGUAUUUCAUGUAACUGUAAACCAAAUGAGCAAAAGUAUCUAUACUUAUGUCAGAUAAAAUAGACUAUAUAUCAAAGACUAUAAAAAGAGUCAAAUAAGAUUACUAUGUAAAGAUAAAAAGGUCAAUUCAGCAAGAGUAUAUAACAAAUAUAAAUAUCUAUGUAGCAAACAGCAGAGCUCCCAAGUAUAUAAAGCAAAUAUUAAUGCAUUUAAAGGGAGAUAUACACAGCAAUACAAUAACACUAGAGGACUUAACACCCAACUCUCACUAAUGGACAGAUCAUCCAGAUAGAAAACCAACAAAGAGGGGCACAUAUUCUCAGGAUCUCCUGAGGACUGUGUCAUGGGCCAUGGUCACUCAUACUUGGCUCAGAGUAAAUAGCUUCAAAUAUUUUACAGAGUUUUACUCUUUUGGUCAACAAUCAUUUGGCACCCAAACACAUGGGGACUAAGAGAAGGCUUGGGACCCUGAAGGAGUUACCCAAAGUCAGAGCUAAGUUACCAGCAGAGGCCCAUUGGAAGCCUCCCCGACUUUGAGCUUCUCAUCCAGUGGAACUGGAAGAUGUUGUUUAAGGAUCCUACUUUUAGUUCAGAGGUGUAUUCUAAAGGAUCUUCUCCAUUGCUUUUUCUCCAAAAUUAAUCUCUACUUGGCUUGUCUGUGUGCAUUUGCAUGAGGAACUGAACCAUUGUUUUCAUAGAUAAAUGAGAGACUGAGUUUUCUCAGCUCCAAAGAGAAAGGCCAUUUUGCUCCUUCCAGCUGAAAGGUGACUCUCGGUGACCAAAAGUCUCGUGGGAUUGUCUGUGGGGUUGACCCCUGUGAGGUGCAGUGGCCCUACAGAGAAUCGUCAACAAAAUUAUUUUAAAAAAGCCUCAUCUGGGAAGCACAUAUGGGAACUGGUCACUUCCCGCUUUGGGUUCUCCUGGAGGUGCUAGACCCCUGGAAAGAGAAACUGACACAUGCAAGAAGACAGCAGUGACUCACUGGUGAUGCUGUGAAGUCCCAUCUGUAAUGAGCACACACUUCGACCCAUUCCACCAAAACCCUAAGCCAUAGCUCAGUUCCUCCUUUUAAGAAGAAUAACAACAACAACAAAAAAAAAAAACAAGGAGAAUGACUCCCUUUCAAGCACUCUGUUGGUUUUAUGGCACCCUUAUUUCACAGGGUUUGUGUAAAAUGGAAAUGUUAUGGUCUUUGUGCACAUUUACAUCAAGGAAAAAGAGCCCUAAGGUCAACCUGCAAACUAUAGAGUUCUUAAAUUCUCUUUUUCUCUAUUUUCUUUUCUGCCUACUUUAAAUCUGCUGUUACUUUUCUACUGAGAUAAAAACCACUGUUUGGAUACAACCAUUGAGUUUUUUUUUUCUUUUUUUCUUUAGCAGGCCAAUAAAUUUGUAUUAAUAUCUCA